rnacentral:rRNA from 1 species
UACGUAGGGUGCGAGCGUUAAUCGGAAUUACUGGGCGUAAAGAGUGCGUAGGCGGUUCGUUAUGUCUGUGGUGAAAGCCCUGGGCUCAACCUAGGAAUGGCCAUGGAAACUGGCGGGCUGGAGUAUGGCAGAGGGGGGUGGAAUUCCGCGUGUAGCAGUGAAAUGCGUAGAGAUGCGGAGGAACACCGAUGGCGAAGGCAGCCCCCUGGGCUAAUACUGACGCUGAGGAGCGAAAGCGUGGGGAGCGAACAGG